GGCAGGGUAGUAACUUGUGACAGAGCAUGGAGUGCAGGAGGCGGGGUCUCUCCUCCACAUGGGGUUGCUGGGCCGAGGGUUGGCCCCAGCCGGGCCCUAUUUUCCCUGGAUAGAGACUUUCAGUCCUACAGGGAAGGAGGAACAAUCUGCACGGGGGGCGGGGGGCUGAGAUCCAUUGAACCAAACUGCAAACCCUGCAGAUGCUGGGAACCACUUCAAGCCUGGGGAGGCACAGCACCCC